rnacentral:rRNA from 1 species
CGGGUGAGUAAUACAUCGGAACGUGUCUUCUAGUGGGGGAUAACUGCCCGAAAGGGCAGCUAAUACCGCAUGAGACCUGAGGGUGAAAGCGGGGGAUCGCAAGACCUCGCGCUGGAAGAGCGGCCGAUGUCCGAUUAGCUAGUUGGUGAGGUAAAGGCUCACUAAGGCGACGAUCGGUAGCUGGUCUGAGAGGACGACCAGCCACACUGGGACUGAGACACGGCCCAG